rnacentral:rRNA from 1 species
AAAAACAAAAAACUUUCAAUAAUAGAUCUCUUGGUUCUGGUAUUAAUAAAGAACACAGUGAAAUACAAUAAGUAAUGUGAAUUGCAGAAUCUAUGAGUCAUCAAAUCUUUGAAUACAUAUUGUACCCUUUGGCAUUCUAAAGGAUAUGUCUAUUUAAGUAUCAUUAUCAUCUCUUAAGCCUAGCUUACAGUUGGACUUGUAGUAAGGCCCUUGCCUAGCCAAUCUUAAAGAUAACAAUAGUAUCUAUGAAUAACCCCAGUAUACUGAGCUCUUAUGGUAUAUACUUGGUAGGAGUUAUAGGCUGGUCUAGCCUCUAGUUUUAUCUAAGGUUAACCUUGGAUUAGGUAGGGAUACCCACUGAACUUAAGUAUAUCAAUAAGCAGAGGAAAAGAAACUAACAGGGAUUGCCUUAGUAACAGCAAGUGAAGUGACAAUAGCUCAAAUUUGAAAUCUAGCUCUUAGGUCUGAGUUGUAAUUUGUAGAGGAUGUUUUAGGUACUGCCACAGUUUAAAUUUCUUGGAAUAGAAUAUCAGAGAGGGUGAGAGUCUUAUCUAGAACUGUGGUAGGGUCUAGGUAAAACUCCUUUGAUAAGUUGAGUUAUUUAGGAAUACAGCUUAAAAUAGGUAGUAAAUUUCAUCUAAAGCUAAAUAUUAGCUAGAGACUGAUAGUGCAUAAGUAGAGUGAUCAAAAGAUAAAAAGCACUUUGAAAAGAGAGUUAAACAGUAUAUGAAAUUGUUGAAAGGGAAGUACUUACAACCAGACUUGUAUAUAGUGGUUCCUCCUUACUUCUGCUUAAGCUACUCUAUCAUAUCUAGGCCAAUAUCAGUUCUAGGGGUUAGUUAAAGGCCCUAGGAAUAUAUCUACCCCUGGGUAGACUUAUAGCCCAGGGUGUUAUAUAGCCUCCUAGAACCAAGGAAUACACUUCAGUGAGGAUAUUAGUGUAAUGGUUGUCAGUAAUCUAUCUUGAAAUAUAGACCAAGGAGUCUAAUAUCUAUAUAAGUAUUUAGGUAUCAAACCUAUACAUGAAAUAAAAGUGAACAAAGGUAGGAAGCCCUUAGGCUAUACUAUCAACUGAUCCUGAUAUUUAUAGAUAGAUUUAAGUAAGAGUAUAGCUGUUAGGACCCAAAAGAUGGUGAACUAUGCCUGAAUAGGGUGAAGCUAGAGGAAACUCUGGUGGAGGCUUAUAAUAGUUCUGAUAUAUAAAUCAAUCAUUAAAUUUAGAUAUAGGGGUAAAAGACUAAUUAAACCAUCUAGUAGCUGGUUUCUGCUGAAGUUUCCCUCAGGAUAGCAGUAACAUUUUCAGUUUUAUGAGGUAAAGUAAAUGAUUAGAGGCCUUAAGGUUGAAAUAACCUUAACCUAUUCUUAAACUUUAAAUAUAUAAGAAGCCCUUGUUACUUAAUUGAAUAUGGGCAUUUGAAUGUAUUAUUACUAGUGGGCUAUUUUUGGUAAGUAGAACUGGUAAUGCAGGAUAAACUGAACAAGAGGUUAAGGUACUAGAGUGUACACUUAUUAGAUACCACAAAAGGUGUCAAUGUAUCUAGAUAGCCAGACAGUGGCCAUGGAAGUUAGAAUCCACUUAGGAGUAUGUAAUAACUUAUCAGCUAAAUAUAUUAGCCCUGAAAAUGGAUGGUACUUAAGUGUGUCAUCUAUACCUCUCUAUAGCCAUUUACUAGAAGUGGCUAUAAAUAGGUAGGUAUAGAGAUAUAUAACAAAGUCUUAAGGGUGACCCUAGGUUAAACUACCUCUAGUGUAGAUCUUGGUAGUAGUAGUAAAUACUUAAAUAAGAACUUUGAGGACUGAAGUAGGGAAAGGUUCUAUAUGAACAGUAGUUGGAUAUGGAUAAGUCAAUCCUAAGCUAUAGGGAAGAUCCAUUAGAAAGUGUGUACUUAUACACUAUAUAGUGAAAGGGAAGCUAGUUAAUAUUCUAGUACCUAGAUACAGUGUCUUUAUAGUAACAUAACUGAAAGUGGAGAUAUCAGCAGAGGCCCUGGGAAGAGUUAUGUUUUCUUCUUAAUGGUCUAUCACCCUGAAAUCAGUUUAUCCAGAGCUAGGGUUUAAUAGCUGGUAGAGUAUAUCACCUCUGAUAUAUCCAAUACACUCCCAAUAACCCUUGAAAAUCUACUGAAAGGAAUAAGAUUUAUGCCAGGUUGUACUCAUAACCAUAGUAGGUCUCUAAGGUGAAAAGCCUCUAGUUGAUAGAACAAUGUAGAUAAGGGAAGUUGGUAAAAUAGAUCUAUAACUUUGGGAAAAGGAUUGGCUCUAAGGACUAGGUAUAUUAGGCCUUAGAAAGAUCCUGCUGGAGUAGGGAGUCACUAGCUAGGUAACCAGCUGGUGACACCCAGCACUGGUAUAGUAAUAUCCUUGGUAGGCUUUGGUUAUCCAGUAUAUAAUUAAUAGUUAACUUAGAACUAGUAUAGACAAGGGGAAUCUAACUAUCUAAUUAAAACAUAGCAUUGCAAUAGCUAGAAAGUGGUGUUGAUAUAAUAUGAUUUCUGCCUAGUACUCUGAAUAUCAAAGUGAAGAAAUUCAACUAAGUAUAGGUAAAUGGCAGGAGUAACUAUGACUCUCUUAAGAUAGCUAAAUACCUUGUUAUCUAAUUAGUGACACACAUGAAUAGAUUAAUAAGAUUCCUACUAUCCCUAUCUACUAUCUAAUGAAACCAUAGCCAAGGGAAUAGGCUUAGCAGAAUCAAUGGGGAAAGAAGACCCUGUUAAGCUUGACUCUAGUUUGAUAUUGUGAAAAGAUAUAGGGGGUGUAGAAUAAGUGGGAGAGUAAUCACCAGUGAAAUACCACUACCCUUAUCAUUUUUUUACUUAUUCAAUGAAGUAGAACUAGGUUUUACCACUCAAUUUCUAGUAUUAAGGUUGUUUACUAGCUAAUCUAGGUUGAAGACAUUGUUAGAUAGGGAGUUUAGCUGGGGUAGUAUAUCUAUUAAACCAUAAUAUAGGUGUCCUAAGGGAGACUUAUGGAAAAUAGAAAUCUCCAGUAGAAUAAAAGGGUAAAAGUUCCCUUGAUUUUGAUUUUCAGUGUGAAUACAAACCAUGAAAGUGUGGCUUAUCAAUCCUUUAGUCCCUUGAAAUUUGAGGCUAGAGAUACCAGAAAAGUUACUACAGGGAUUAACUGAGUGUACUUACUUGGUUACAAACUAUAAUAAACUUUAAUGAUAUAAGUCUAUUAUUGAUUAUAGCCAUUGUAAAAUAGUCCUAGUCAAGACUCUAUCUCUUGGCUAGUCUAGCUAACCCUUAGUUAUAUUUAGGUAGUGUAGAUAGGCAACAUAACUAGAUAUAGGAAUGUCCUGUUAAACCUCUCAAUACCAAGGCUAGGUAGUAACACUCCUAGUCAGAGCAUAGUUAUUGCCUAGGGUAGUAGAAGGCUAUGUAGGUAAUAAUCUAAGGGCUGGGAUAAUCCACA